rnacentral:lncRNA from 1 species
CCCACAACUUUUCUAUGAUCGGGUCUAAUUAUUUUGGGUUGGAUCCAAACCUAAAUUAGCUGUACAAAUUUUGGACCAGACACGUAUUAAGCGGCUAAAAAACUGGCACUCUCUAUUAUCUGCAUAAGAAUAUGCUAAAGAUUCGCUCGAAAAUUAUUAAUGCAUUAGCAAUCACACUAAAAGUCUAAAACAUAUUAAUCAAUUUACAUCCGUGGUUCGAAGCAUUACCGACGCAUCAGCAGCACUUUAAGAACAUAUCAGAUUGCACCAAAGAUCUUGCUCUUGAUCCAAUAA